UACGUAGGGUGCAAGCGUUAAUCGGAAUUACUGGGCGUAAAGCGCACGUAGGCGGCUUUGUAAGUUAGAGGUGAAAGCCCGGGGCUCAACCCCGGAAUUGCCUUUAAGACUGCAUCGCUUGAAUCCAGGAGAGGUGAGUGGAAUUCCGAGUGUAGAGGUGAAAUUCGUAGAUAUUCGGAAGAACACCAGUGGCGAAGGCGGCUCACUGGACUGGUAUUGACGCUGAGGUGCGAAAGCGUGGGGAGCAAACAGG
rnacentral:rRNA from 1 species